UACGUAGGGGGCUAGCGUUAUCCGGAAUUAUUGGGCGUAAAGGGUGCGUAGGCGGCGCGGUAAGUCGGGUGUGAAAUCUCGGAGCUUAACUCCGAAACUGCAUUCGAUACUGCCGUGCUUGAGGACUGGAGAGGAGACUGGAAUUUACGGUGUAGCGGUGAAAUGCGUAGAUAUCGUAAGGAAGACCAGUGGCGAAGGCGGGUCUCUGGACAGUUCCUGACGCUGAGGCACGAAGGCCAGGGGAGCAAACGGG
rnacentral:rRNA from 1 species